UAUGCUUCACUCUGUAUCAACAAUACAACUCGCCCCUCCACUGCAGAGUGGAGAGCCACACCCUGAAGGCAGCCGGGAUGAAGUCUUAUGCUCUCACCAUGGACCCAAUGCAAACUUGUGACCUAAGUGGGGGAGAGGCCAGGUCAUAAAGCAGCAGUCGCCCAGGAUGCCAGAGCAGUGGCCAUUGGCUUGAUCGUAGUGUGCUUUGCUAAUUAAUACAUGGUAACCAUUGAGGACACAUGGAUCAGCACCAGAGUGAAAAGAUUCUGCUUAGGCUGUUCAUUAUGGAUGUCCUGAAGUUCCAUGACUCGCUGUCUGGAAGCUGGAGAACCAGGAAAGCCAGUGCUACAAUUCAUUCUGAGUCCAAAGGGCUGAGGACCAUGGGAGCUCAAUAAUAAGAAACUGAAGUUCACAAAGGUGAAGUCAGCUUCUCAAGGUCAUACAGCUACUUAGCAGCAGAUGUGGAACUUGAACUCAAGCCUCCAGACUGGAGCCCCUAUAAUGUAAGACCCGAUUUGACCCAGCAUGCAUAUGUAUCCCAUGGAGAAACCAUUUCUAUCGGUAAGCAUG